UGAGGACAAGGGAGAGGGUGGGAAGAGCUGAGCUGUUGAGUGGUGCUGGGUGGGCUGGUCUCAGGGGUGAGGACAAGGGAGAGGCAGGGGUGGUAGAGCUGCUGGCCAUACCAGCCUGAGAGGGGAGAAAGGCAAGUAGAGUGAGGAUCCUGAGUCAGUCUGUGCUGUGGAGACUGGCAAGGAAGCAGGCAGUUACUGCUCUGGGUCCCAGAGGACCUGCUGCAGAGAGACGUCUUGGGGUCGUCAAGUUCCAGGUGGUGACUGGAACUGUACGAGGGGGUGAGCUCACCUGGAAUCAGUAUUGAGACAGUGAGAAAAGGUGCCAGGCCCACUGCGCCUAGAGGAGCCUGGACGAGGCUACAGAAGACACCAACAGAAAGGCCCACAGGGGUCAGUGAGGGCCUGAGGGGGGACCACAGGCGAAGGCUGCUUUCGGCUGCAGAGGGGCGAUGGUAGCUAAUGAGGCUGAGGUCAGAUGAGGACCGAAAUGGGUGUCUCAGCUCUGGGGACUUGGACGUCUUAGGUGGCACAGUGAGGAGUGCGUGGACGGUGUGGCUUGGCCACCUCCAGAGGCUGGAGUAUGAGAAGUGAGUGGGAGGAUGAAGUGGAGCUGGGGCACAUGCAGCCCUCCACAGAGGGGGAGUGUGGACAGAGCCAGGGGCAGGUUCUUCCUCUACUGUCCUCUUCCCGCCUUGCAGCUGGUGCCAGCGAAUGCUGUGGCCCCCCGCCACCUGACCCUGUGCCUCUGCCACCCCCAGUCUCUCCCGCAGGCCCUGGGUGUGCAGGAGGGCCUUCAAAGGACUCCCAGGCUGCCCCGGGGUGUUGGGCUGCAGCCUUCCCUUUCCUUUAUGCUCACCUCAGCCAGGCUUAAUCUGCUUUCUGUCUCUUUCUACUUCUUCUUCGCCCCAGUUUUCUUAUCAUUUUUGUCACAUCAUAUAUACAAAAUGUCCUUUGGUAUCCAAAUCUAUUGAGUUUAAAUUGGAUAGAGGGUAGACAAAGUACGGAGAGUGAGAGAUUCGUCCACAGAUUUAUCCACAUCAGUUAGGAUCAUGUGUCUGGAGAGCAGGAGAGAAAUGUUGGGCCUGCCUGCAUGGUCUUUGUCCAGCUCACCCGAGCCUUGGGAAUGGGCCAGGGUUUCACACUGCAGAGGACAGAGCUGCGAAGUGACAGGAACCUCCCGGUGUGAACCAGGGUUUCCAUUCCUCCCUGGCUCAUCGGGGACUUGCGUCUUGGACUCAGAUCCCCUGGUUGUGGGUCACCGGCUUUUGCACACUUUUUCCCCAUGUCGCUCAGCGUUCCGGCUUGGCAAGGGCUCCGGGAGUCUCGGUUUCCCUUGUGGCUUGGGAUUCUUUGCAGGUUUAGCAAGUUUCCAUCUAGCGCCUUCUCUCCAAGGCUUGAGGUUGGUGAAGAACGGGAGCCCUAACUAAUCUGGAGUCCUCAGUCCGCACCCCCUGCAUCCUCCUACGUGGAUAGUCUGGGACGGGCUCCCCUGUGCCAGACCCAAUGAGUGUCCCCUCCUGGGAAGGAGCCGCGCGGUACCAGCCGUGUGCCCUGUGGCUAUAACCCGGGAGUCGGCCAGCAAGUGGUGUCGCAUCCUGUUGCUGACAAAGAGCUCCUGGGAGGUCUUUGUCCGGUGUGGGUUCCCACUGGUUCAGCUGGCACCAGACCCCAGUGCCCGCCUGGGAAAUAGUGGCGACACCCCUCCCUCUGCCUCUCUCCUACUCUUCAAAAAUGAGAAGGAUGACAUAUAUUGAGUGCUUAUUGUAUGCAGGCACUGUUGUGACUGUCCUAACACCCCCAAGGCUGUAGCACUUCAUUCCACAGGUGAAGGCAGCAAGGCACAGCCUGCCAAGUGCCUGGGCUCCCCCGGCCUCAGGUCGCCGUUCUCUCAGUGUAGCAAGGCACCGCCUGCCAAGUGCCUGGGCUCCCCCGGCCUCAGGUCGCCAUUCUCUCAAUGCUCCCAGCUGCCAGGGUCAGGGCUUGCAGGGAGGCUGGUGCCUGGCCUGCUCUUCCCCCUCUCGCUGCAGCCUCACUCUGUGCACUUGUGAAUGGGGGCAUCUUUCUGACACCCCACCAGACUUAGGCUGUUCCCAGAGGGAAGACCCAGAGUGACGUCCCAGGAAGACAAAGGCAAUGGCGUAGUCUGCUCUUCCUCACAGCCAAGCACAGGCCCUGGCACACAGCAGGUGCUCAAUGAAGAACAACCUCGUGAGGUCUGUCCGGAGCACGUGGCCCCCACACUGUGCCUGCAGCUCUUCAUCCGGUGACCCUGCAGCAUGGCAGGUGGAGGACCUGAGUCAGCUCUCUGCUAUGGCCUGGGAAAGCAGUAGAAGAUGGCCCAAGUCCUUGGGCCCCUGCACCCACACGGAAGAUCUGGAAGAAGCUCCUGGUUUUGGAUCGGCGCUGCUCCGGCCACUGCAGCCAUCUGGGGAGUGAACCAGCAGAUGGAAGACCUCUCUCUCUGUGUCUACUUCUCUCUGUAACUCUGUCUUUCAAAUAAAUAAAAUCUUAAAAAAAAAUCUGUUGAGUGUUUCAGUGCAGAAGGGGCCAAGCCAUCCUGUUGCUGCCUGGGAAGCAGUGGCUGGGCCCCACGGAGCAGUAACUGCUCGGGAGCCUGCAGGCUGGGACCAGGCCUCUAUCAGCCCUGUCCUCCCGUCUUCCCCUGUCCAGGCAUCACCACCAUCAUCCUCACCCAUCUUCCUGCCUCUGCUCAAACCACUUUGUUUGGUCACAGUUCAGACUUUGGAGCUUAGCACCUCCUGCAGCCCACACCUCGCCUCCGUGUCCCUGCUCCGCUGUCACGCCUCUCUCAGGCAUCCCUUUUUUCCACCCAGUCUCCCCGAAUGCCUCCAGGCUUCCCCCUGGGCUCACAGUUUUGCUGUUUGUUCACUCCUGACGUGCCUCCCCACUAAUGUUGAGGUUGAGCCAGGGUCCGGAAGUCUGCAGUGUUCUCUGUCCCUGGUCCUGGGCCAGUUACUGCUUGUGUGGCUCAUGCUGUGUGAAGUUCGUUCAUUCAUUCAUUCAUUCCAUGUGUUUAAUUUUUUUUUUAUUAUUUAUUUGAAAGGGAAAGAGAGAGAUAUAGAGACCGGGAGAAAUAGUUUCUGUCUUCUGGCAAUUCCCCACAUGGCUGCAACAACCAGGGCUGGGCCAGGCUGAAGCCAGGAGCUUCAAACUCCAUCUGGGUCUCCCACCUGGGUGGUAGGGGCCCAAGCACUGGAGCCAUCGUCCACUGACCCUGGAAUGCGUCAGCAGGAAUCUGGACUGGAUGUGGAGGAGCUGAGACUUGAAUUGGCACCGCCGUUUGGGAUGUGUUUCAAGUGGCAGCUUAACCUGCUGCGCCACAUUGGCCACCCCCGUGUUUGAUACCUGUGGUGUGCCGGACUCCAGGCACAACGCUGGAAACACAGGUCACAGCCCCUGUCCUGACGGUGCUUCCAGUCCAGGGAUUCUGAGCGAGGCCCUGGUUGCCAGAGCAGAGGCGCCGGGCACCUGUGCUGGGCGAGGUCCAGGACCAGCCCUCCCUGUGGUUUUUAAGAGGGGGGGCUGUGCUAGAGACACGGAUACUUUCACAGAUGCCUGUGUCAUCACCAGUGGGUUUAAUUGUGACUUCUGUAAAUAAAUGUUGACUGAAAAUAAUUUUGCUUUCUUUGGCCUUAGCUCCCUGUGUUGGUGCUCUGCCUUGACGCCCCCAGGACAUCCUGUGGUUGGACCAGUCAGGUGACUGCUCCCUGAGGGGGAGGGCAAGUGCACAGCAGGGGGAGCUGUGGCGAGAGGGCACCAGGUGCUGGCAGCAAGGGGGUUUGUCCUGAGGCUGGGUGUCUCAACACACCUCAUUUGGGAGGAUGACUCGAGUGGGACUGGCCAGGGAGAGCCGCUUGGCCCUUCCGUGGCUGCUUUGCUGCGUCCCGACGUGAUUGGAGGGGGUCUUGAUCCCUCAGUGUCAGAGUAGCCUCCUCUUAGGUUCCUGUUCUGUGCAGCUGCUCACACUCGCAGCGCCCAGGUCUCUAUCUGUGAUGCCAGGCCAGCCCCACGCAGCGCCCAGGCCUCUAUCUGCAAUGCCAGGCCAGCCCCACGCGGCGAGGCCAGGCAGAUAGGGCCUGCCCAGCCCCGGACAGCAGGGGGGAGGUACUGCUUCUCACCUUGCUGGCCUCGUGGCUGCUGUGCCUCCGUCAGCUUCAUCAGUCGGGCACUUUCUACCUAUCUGGUUGCCCAGCAGCCAGACUGUCAGGUGCUUGGGCUCCCCACGGCGAGGAGCAGCUGCUGGAGACGCCCAGUCUGACCUGGCUGGGUGCUGGGUGCUGACGACUGUGCGCCCCCGUUUGCUUACGGCUCCUCUCUGGCUGCUCCCUUCUCCUGUCCUCACCCCACACCUGCUCCGGGACCUUCUGUCAGUGGAGUCCCCCUCCUGAGCGCUCUCCCUUUGCUCUGGGUUCCCUGGCCUCCUGGCCCAGGCCCAGACCUCCGGCCCCAGCCUCCCCCUCUCAGCCAGAGUCUGUUCCUUCGGGAAGCUCCCGAGCAAAACUGUCCGUGCCGUCCGUAUUCCUGAACUCCUCCUCCUUCAGCUUGACGGAUGUUCUGUGAACUCCGUGUUGUUUUCCUCUUCAGUGCCAAGUCCGGGGAGCCUGCGAGCUACCUCUCGGUGGGCUCCUUUCUCACCUGUCAGCCUACUUACAGCACUUGCUGGGCCCUGGAUGAGGACCUGCACCUGCUCAAGGAAAUACUGGCAAAGGGGUGGGAGGACCAGGGGCCUGUGGCCCGCCCUGAUGGAGGCAUGCGACCGAGGUUAGCCCCUGGGUCACCCUGGGGGCGAGGUAGACUCCAGGAAGGCAUGCCUGUCCCUGACCCAGCAGAGAGGCCACAGACUGCUACAGUGCUGUGAGGCGGGGCCCGCUUUGGCUCAGGUUGUGCAAGGUUGGGAUUGGGGGCUGAGGGGCUGAGCGGGAAGGCAGCUGGGACAGUCAGUGGGCAGAAGGCAGGGCCUGAGCCAGGACUAAGGAGUGUGGGCUUCAUCCUGAGGGUGCCUGGACAAAGGUUUGAGGAGGUGGGUCACGUGACCGGCGGAGGAUGGGCAGUACACGGAGGACAGGCCCGAGAGGCAGAGGAGAGGAGGACGGCUUGCUUUGGAGCACAAGAGCCAGUCUGGGGAGGACAAACUCAGCUUUGAGCAGGCCUCGGCUGGGGUGCCUGUGGGCGCUGGGGUGGCGCUGGCUUGGGGUAUGUGGGGCCCUUUCAUGCCCUAAAGUGCUGCCCCCAGUUAAAUGAGUGGUGGUGGGGAGGAGCCUUGAGAGGUUCUCAGGCCAAGGUGGCUGGAAAGUCGUGGGGACGAGGGUCUCAGGGGGUCACGCCCCAGGCCAAGACAGCCAGGCCCCCUGGGGAGGGCAUGGAGCUGGCUGACCAGUGGGUAACACCCUAGCGCCCACGGCAGGAGCUAAGUAGCAAGCACAGGGAGGUGUGCGCACGGCAGUCUGCCUGGCUGAGCUGCUGGUCUCGGUUCAGGCCUGGGGCAGCAGCUCCUGUCUGUAGUUUCUUGUGGGGAAGAUGGGGAGGGAGAGAACCUUUGUCCAGAUCCCUGCCAAGAUGGACUGUACGGCAGCCAGGAGAGCCCGCCGGGGCCUGCGGAGCGUGACGGCGAGCUGGGGGUGGGGGCAGUGACCUGUGCCACUUUCCUCAGGCCUGGACAGCAGGUGAGCCGCUCACAGACCCACUGUCCCGCCGAGCUGUGUCCAGAGGGAGCAGGUGUCAGACAGCCCUGCCGCUUCCCAGCGCGCGGCCUGGGCACCCUGUUCAGCUAGCUCGGGCAGCCUCGGGUCCCUGUCCCUCCACUGGGAGUCUAGCACACGCCGUACAGGGUGCCUGGGAAGGUGGCG